CGACCCUAUGUCAGGUGGGAUUACCCAUUGAGUUUAAGCAUAUUAAUAAGCAGAGGUAAAGAAACUUACAAGGAUUUUCUUAGUAAUGACAAGCGAGCUGGUAAUAACCCAGCCUUAGAAUUGGGUAGCUCUGUCGUUUGAAUUGUAGUUUGAGGAAGUAUCCGUAGUGGCAGAUCAGGCCCAAGUCCCUUGGAAGAGGGCACUGGAGAGGGUGAGAGCCCCGUUGUGCCUAGGCCCUUUCAUACCACAAGGCACUAUCUAUGAGUCAGAUUGUUUGAAAAUACAGCCCAAAUCAGGCAGUGAAUUUUGUCCAAGACUAAAUAUGGGCGAGAGACCAAUUGCGAACAAGUACCACGGGGGAAAGAUGAAAAAGAAUUUGAAAAAAGAGUCAAAAAGUGCUUGAAAUUGUCCAGAAAAAAGCGGAUGAGGGCCAGCGAUGUGCCCCGGUCGAAUGUUGAGCGACGGUGAGCCAGUCUAUCGAUUAUCUCGGGGCGUGGACUAGCGUUGAUUGGGGGACAACCAAAGCCCGGGCUCUCGAUACUCUUAUAGAAUGCUACCUCCUUAAUCAACAUGAGCCUUUGGCAUGCUUCGGCAUCUACGCGCUUCAGACGUUGGCUUGUGGGCUUCCCACUCGACCCAUCUUGAAAAACAAAACAAGGAGUCUAACAUAUGUUUGAUUCAAUGGUUAAAUAAACCCUUAAAGCAUAAAGAACCUGAUUGGUGAGAUCCCUCUGAGGGGUGCACUGCUGAUCGACAUUGAUCUUCUGCGAAGGGUUCGAGUGUGAGCAUACAUUUAGGGACUCGAAAGAUGGUGAUUUAUGCCUGAGCAUGGAAAAUAUAGAGGAAACUUUGGUGGAGACCUAUAACGUUACUGACGUGCAAAUUGUUCGUCUGACUUGGGUGUAGGGGAGAAAUACUGAUCAAAUCAUCUGGUAGCUGGUUACCUUCAAAGUUUCUCUCAGGAUAGUUGGAGCUUGCAUGGGAGUUCUAUUGGGUAAAGCCAAUAAUUAGAGUCCUCGGGGGUGUAAUGCCCUCGAACUAUUCUAAAACUUUAAAUAGGUAGGAUGGUGCGACUGCUUUGUUGAGCCGUGCCACAAAAUCAAGAGCUCCAUUUGGGCCAUUUUUGGUAAGCAGAACAGACAAUGAGGGAUGAACCAGAAGUCGAGUUACGACACUAAAAUAUCUGCUAACCUAGAUCCCGCAAAGGGUGUUAGUCGAUUAAGAUAGCAAGACGGUGGUUAUGGAAGUUGAAAUUCACUUAGAUGUGUGUAACAACUCAACUAUCAAAUCAAAUUACCCCAAAAAUAAAUGGAACUUAAGCGCGCAACAUACGCCGGGCCAUUGAGACAAGUUCCAGGCCCCGAUAAGUAGGAGGAUGCAGCGGUCACUGUAAAAUCUUAGGUGUAAUCCUGGGUGAAGCAACCUUCGGUGCAGAUCCUGGUGGUAGUAGAAAAUAUUAAAAUGAGAACUUUAAAGGCCAAAGAAGGGAAAAAUUCUAUUUGAACGGCACUUGCACAUGGGUUAGUCGAUCCUAAGGGUCAAGGGAAUCUAGACAAAUAGUGCGUUUUGCGAGUACACUAAAAAGAAAUAGGGUUAAAAUUCCUGAACCGUGAUAUGGCAGUCGACGACAAUGUUAGAAAGUUUGGAGACGUUGGAGGGAGCCUUGGGAAGAGUUAUUUUUUUGCUUAAUAGCCUGCCCAUCCAGGAAUUGGCUCAGUCAUAGAGGUAGGGUCCAGCGGCUGGAAGAGCACCGCAAGUUGUGUGGUGUCUGGUGUGCUCCUGGUGGCACUUGAAAAUUCGAAGGACCGAAUAUUGUCCACGCCCGGUUGUACUCUUAACCACAUCAGGUCUUCAAUAUAAAUAUCCUCUGGUCGAUAGAAUAAUGUAGGCAAGGAAAGUCAGCAAAAUGGAUCCAUAACUUCGGGAAAAGGAUAGGCUUUGAAGGCUGGACAUGGGGGUCCCAGUACCAAACCCGUUAACUGUUGAUAGACUAUUUGAGCUGGUCCUAUGGUCAGAGCGGGUUGCUGUGUGCCGUCCAGGGGAUGGAAUGGGAAUGGUUCCUUCAGGGGCCUUCCCCACGCGUCGAACAACCAACUCAAAAUUGGUACGUGCAAGGGGAAUCUGACUGUUUAAUUAAAACAAAGCAUUGUGAUGGUUCCAAUGGAUGUUCACGCAAUGUGAUUUUUGCCAGUACUCUGAAUGUCAAAGUGAAGAAAUCGGAGGGAGUAAUUAUGACUCUCUUAAGGUAGCCAAAUGCCUUAUCAUCUAAUUAGUGAUGCACAUGAAUGGAUUAACGAGAUUCCCACUGUCUCUUUCUACUAUCCGGCAAAAUCACAACUAAAGGAAUGGGCUUUGCAGAAUCAGCGGGGAAAGAAGACCCUAUUGAACUUGACUCUAGACCGACUUUGUAAAAUGACUUGAGAGGUGUAGUAUAAGCAGGAGCCAAAAGGAAAAAGUGAAAUACCACUACUUUUAACGUUAUUUUACUUAUUCCGUGAAUUGGAAGUGGGGCACUGCCCCUAUUUUUGGAUGCAAGGCUUGCUUAGUGGGCCAUUUCAGGUAGAAGACAUUGUCAAGUAAGGAUUUUGGCUGGGGUGGCACAUCUAUUAAAGGAUAAUACAAGUGUCCUAAGAUCAGCUCAACGAGAACAGAAAUCUCAUGUAGAAUAGAAGGGUAAAAACUCAUUUGAUUCUGAUUUCUAGUACGAAUACGAACCAUGAAAACAUGGCCUAAUGUUCCUUUAGACCUUCGAAAUUCACAGCUAGAGGUGUCAGAAAAGUUACCACAAGGUUAACUACCUUGUCGUAGCCAAGCGUUCGUAGCGACGUUAUGUUUUUAUCCUUCGAUAUCGGCUCUUCGUAUCAUUACGAAGCAUAAUUCACCAAGUGUUGGAUUAUUCACUCACCAAUAGGGAAGUGAGCUGGGUUUAGACCUUCGUGAGAUAGCUUAGUUUUACCCUAGUGAUAAUAGUGUCGCAAUAGUAAUUCAAUCUAGUACGAGAGGAUCCGUUAAUUCACAUAAUUGGUCAUCACGAUUGGUUGAAAAGCCAUUGGCACAAAGCUACCAUAUGCUGGAUUAUGACUGAACGUCUCUAAUUUAGAAUCAGGUCUAAAAGUAAUGCAUGUGCCCAUCGUCUGCUUGCCGACCCGCAGUAGGGGCCUCAGCCCCUAAGGGCAUGUGUCGUUAGCUAAGCCAUCACGAUGAAAGAGUCACAGUGUCCAUCUUGCAGUUUAAUUUUCCUCGAACCGUGGGUAGAAUCCUUUGCAGAUGACUUAAAUACGCGAUGUGGUAUUUUAAGUGGCAGAGUGGACUUGCUGCCAAGAUUCACUAAGAUUCAUCCCUUUGUCACUCUAGUUCGU
rfam:Capsicum annuum cultivar Zunla-1 chromosome 6, whole genome shotgun sequence